rnacentral:rRNA from 1 species
GGUAAUAUUGAAGAGACGAGAGCUACAUAGCCAGUUCUCGUCCGAUCACUGAAGUUAAGCAACGUUGAGCGUAGAUAAUACUUGGAUGGGUGACCGCUUGGGAACACCACGUAACGUUUGUA